rnacentral:rRNA from 2 species
AGAGUUUGAUCAUGGCUCAGAUUGAACGCUGGCGGCAGGCCUAACACAUGCAAGUCGAGCGGAAACGAGUUAUCUGAACCUUCGGGGAACGAUAACGGCGUCGAGCGGCGGACGGGUGAGUAAUGCCUAGGAAAUUGCCCUGAUGUGGGGGAUAACCAUUGGAAACGAUGGCUAAUACCGCAUGAUGCCUACGGGCCAAAGAGGGGGACCUUCGGGCCUCUCGCGUCAGGAUAUGCCUAGGUGGGAUUAGCUAGUUGGUGAGGUAAGGGCUCACCAAGGCGACGAUCCCUAGCUGGUCUGAGAGGAUGAUCAGCCACACUGGAACUGAGACACGGUCCAGACUCCUACGGGAGGCAGCAGUGGGGAAUAUUGCACAAUGGGCGCAAGCCUGAUGCAGCCAUGCCGCGUGUAUGAAGAAGGCCUUCGGGUUGUAAAGUACUUUCAGUCGUGAGGAAGGUAGUGUAGUUAAUAGCUGCAUUAUUUGACGUUAGCGACAGAAGAAGCACCGGCUAACUCCGUGCCAGCAGCCGCGGUAAUACGGAGGGUGCGAGCGUUAAUCGGAAUUACUGGGCGUAAAGCGCAUGCAGGUGGUUUGUUAAGUCAGAUGUGAAAGCCCGGGGCUCAACCUCGGAAUAGCAUUUGAAACUGGCAGACUAGAGUACUGUAGAGGGGGGUAGAAUUUCAGGUGUAGCGGUGAAAUGCGUAGAGAUCUGAAGGAAUACCGGUGGCGAAGGCGGCCCCCUGGACAGAUACUGACACUCAGAUGCGAAAGCGUGGGGAGCAAACAGGAUUAGAUACCCUGGUAGUCCACGCCGUAAACGAUGUCUACUUGGAGGUUGUGGCCUUGAGCCGUGGCUUUCGGAGCUAACGCGUUAAGUAGACCGCCUGGGGAGUACGGUCGCAAGAUUAAAACUCAAAUGAAUUGACGGGGGCCCGCACAAGCGGUGGAGCAUGUGGUUUAAUUCGAUGCAACGCGAAGAACCUUACCUACUCUUGACAUCCAGAGAACUUUCCAGAGAUGGAUUGGUGCCUUCGGGAACUCUGAGACAGGUGCUGCAUGGCUGUCGUCAGCUCGUGUUGUGAAAUGUUGGGUUAAGUCCCGCAACGAGCGCAACCCUUAUCCUUGUUUGCCAGCGAGUAAUGUCGGGAACUCCAGGGAGACUGCCGGUGAUAAACCGGAGGAAGGUGGGGACGACGUCAAGUCAUCAUGGCCCUUACGAGUAGGGCUACACACGUGCUACAAUGGCGCAUACAGAGGGCGGCCAACUUGCGAAAGUGAGCGAAUCCCAAAAAGUGCGUCGUAGUCCGGAUUGGAGUCUGCAACUCGACUCCAUGAAGUCGGAAUCGCUAGUAAUCGUGGAUCAGAAUGCCACGGUGAAUACGUUCCCGGGCCUUGUACACACCGCCCGUCACACCAUGGGAGUGGGCUGCAAAAGAAGUAGGUAGUUUAACCUUCGGGGGGACGCUUACCACUUUGUGGUUCAUGACUGGGGUGAAGUCGUAACAAGGUAGCGCUAGGGGAACCUGGCGCUGGAUCACCU